GGGGGCCCGCACAAGCGGUGGAGCAUGUGGUUUAAUUCGACGCUACGCGAAGAACCUUACCUGGGCUUGAACUGCUGGUGGUAGAAGCCCGAAAGGGUAACGACCCGGAGCAAUCCGGGAGCCAGUAGAGGUGCUGCAUGGCUGUCGUCAGCUCGUGUCGUGAGAUGUUGGGUUAAGUCCCGCAACGAGCGCAACCCUUACCCUUAGUUGCCAGCGGGUAAUGCCGGGCACUCUAAGGGGACCGCCCCGGAUAACGGGGAGGAAGGCGGGGAUGACGUCAAGUCAGCAUGGCCUUUAUGUCCAGGGCUACACACGUGCUACAAUGGGCGAUACAGAGGGAAGCAAGGCCGCAAGGUAGAGCUAAUCCCUAAAGUCGUCCUCAGUUCGGAUUGCAGGCUGCAACUCGCCUGCAUGAAGUCGGAAUCGCUAGUAAUCGCGGAUCAGCUACGCCGCGGUGAAUACGUUCUCGGGCCUU
rnacentral:rRNA from 1 species